UUUCGCAAUGCCCGAAAGGGUGACGAAGCGACGCCGCGUGGGUGAGGAAGGCCUUCGGGUUGUAAAGCCCUGUCAGGAGUUAAGAAAUGUAAGUGCGCUAAUACCGCAUUUAUUUGACGAAGGCUCCAAAGGAAGUCACGGCUAACUCUGUGCCAGCAGCCGCGGUAAUACAGAGGUGGCAAGCGUUGUUCGGAAUUAUUGGGCGUAAAGAGCUCGUAGGUGGGUUUGUAAGUCAGAUGUGAAAGCCUCCUGUUCAACGGGAGAAUUGCAUCUGAAACUACAGAUCUUGAGUGUAGGAGGGGAGAAUGGAACUUCUGGUGGAGCGGUGAAAUGCGUAGAUAUCAGAAGGAACGCCGGCGGCGAAAGCGAUUCUCUGGCCUAUUACUGACACUCAGUGUGCGAAAGCUAGGGUAGCAAACGGGAUUAGAUACCCCGGUAGUCCUAGCCGUAAACGAUGGGCACUAAGUAGAGGGGUUUUA
rnacentral:rRNA from 1 species